rnacentral:rRNA from 1 species
CCUACGGGAGGCGGCAGUGGGGAAUUUUGGACAAUGGGCGCAAGCCUGAUCCAGCAAUGCCGCGUGAGUGAAGAAGGCCUUCGGGUUGUAAAGCUCUUUUGUCAGGGAAGAAACGGCCGAGGCUAAUACCUUUGGCUAAUGACGGUACCUGAAGAAUAAGCACCGGCUAACUACGUGCCAGCAGCCGCGGUAAUACGUAGGGUGCAAGCGUUAAUCGGAAUUACUGGGCGUAAAGCGUGCGCAGGCGGUUUUGUAAGUCUGACGUGAAAUCCCCGGGCUCAACCUGGGAAUUGCGUUGGAGACUGCAAGGCUGGAGUCUGGCAGAGGGGGGUAGAAUUCCACGUGUAGCAGUGAAAUGCGUAGAGAUGUGGAGGAACACCGAUGGCGAAGGCAGCCCCCUGGGUCAAGACUGACGCUCAUGCACGAAAGCGUGGGGAGCAAACAGGAUUAGAUACCCUGGUAGUCCACGCCCUAAACGAUGUCUACUAGUUGUCGGGUCUUAAUUGACUUGGUAACGCAGCUAACGCGUGAAGUAGACCGCCUGGGGAGUACGGUCGCAAGAUUAAAACUCAAAUGAAUUGACGG